UUUUUUUUUUUUUUUUUUGGCCUAGGGUUUCCAUGAUAAGCCGUAUCUCCAGCCCUGAAGCUUUAUUUUAAACUUCUGGUUGUUGAGCCUUUACAGAUAACUCUGGUCACACUUCCUCUUGUGGAAGGGAAGCCAUUCAUAGCAUCCUCUGGAAUGCUUCCUUCUUUGGGUCAUAGGAUUCCGUUUGUGGAUGUUUGUGGAUGCUGAACUGCAUUAUUUUUGUGAGAGGGUGGUCUUUUUAGGUGCCCUACCAAAUGGGAUUAACAUUAAUGCGCUGUCCAUUCUUUGUGAUGAAUUGAGAGUGAAGUUGAAAGUUGAAUCACUUUUUAAAACUUGUGUUAAUAGUACUUGGAUGGCCCCACCUCAUGCCCUUGCUAGGAGGAGUUCCCUGUGCCAAGAUGUAUUCCACAUGGAUGGAAGGUUUCCAUUAAAGCAAGGAAGACACCUUUAACUAAUGCACUUGGUUGUGAUAUCUUUCCUUUGCUUGCUCUAUAACUUCGCUUGACUCAUGCUCAUUUUCUCUAGUGCAAUUUUUGUUUCUAAGUUUUAUAUAUAUAUAAAAAAAAACAACAAAAUAAAACACAGCAAGUAACCCUCCCAAAGUUCCAUUAUUUUAUCUUCUUAAACUCCAGGACCAUUAAUGUUCAAAUUUUAGAAUAUGUUAGUUACCUCAGGAACAUAUGAUGGGCCAGCGGCCAUGGUUUCAUGAUAGACUUUUGGGUACUCGUAUGAUGUCUACUAGCAUCAUUCUAAUGGUGAGGAUGGUAAAGAUAGCAGCACGAACAGCAGCGACACUAACACAGUUGGCCUGCGUAUGCGUUUCAGCAACAGGAAUCAGGUGCUUUCCACCCAUCUGUGGUCCAUGUUUAGAUGUCAAACCACAUUAGUCCACAUGUGGAAAUAGUGGACGUUGGAGAUUUACCUCCUCCCUGCCUUUUAGGUAGAAUCUACUCUCAUCCUUAGAUAAGUGGCUUCUUCUAACAUCUGGUUCAAAUGAUAUCUUGUAUACACUCUUAAUUAGUCUUAUUUUAAGCAUCUGAGCAUCUAUUUCUUUCAAAUAAAAAGAAUAGGCAGUUCUAAUGAAAGUGUUAAGUUAAUGAAGACAGGUUCUUUUCUUACUCUAUGACAAUUAGGAUAAAAGAAGGAAACUAAUGAAAAUAGCCCAUACGUUUUAUUUCUCAGUCUUUUUAAAAAGAAUAUUUUCUUUUUAUUUAUGUGUCUGUGUCUGCAUGGAUGUAUAGUACAAGGGUGUGAGUGCCCACAGAGGCCGGGGAGGGUGUAUGGGGAUCACCUGGAGCUAGAGUUACUGGAAAUUAUAACUCUCCUAAUGUAGGUGCUGGGAACCAACUUAGGUCCUCUGAAAGGGCAAGUGCUCUUACCACUGAGCCAUCUCUCUGUCCCUGAUCGAUCUCAGCCAAUUCUUGGUGCUGAACCUCCCUCAGACCUGGCUUGUUCUGCUUCCCCGCACUUCCCUGUGUGUAUAGUCUAAGCAAGGGCACUGUGGGUGGGGAAGCAGCACUUGGCUGACCUUUCUGCCUUUGAUAUGUAACUGGGAAUCAGCUGGCCUUCCUGAGGUUCUUUUCUCCUCUAUACUUGGCCUCAGUUAGCAAGCACUCUGCCAUAUUAUAUUCUCAGAACUUACACAACAGCACCCACUGAUUAUCAUGUAACUUUGAAUUUCAAAAGGAACCUCAAAACAAAGUCUUAUCAAAUUUAGCAUGAAUUGUAUAUUUAAGAAAGGUAUGGAAAUAGGGGGAAUUCUUGGGACCUAGGAAAUAUUCGUGUUAUGUAGAUUCAUUCAGCAAGUUUCUCUGCAUGAAGAAAAUUGCUUGGAAAAUGUUAUUGCCAAUUGUGAGGGUAUGGAAAACACUAAUAAUUUGUGAUGUCCAUUUACAUUAAGUGCUUUCCUAUGCAAUUUUAAAAGGGCAAACAAAUAAUGGGGUACCUUAAUGAACUAUCAGAGAAGAGUCUCCACAGAAUUUAGUAUUUGUCAUCUUAAUUCUUUUGUAAAAUCAAAUCCUCCAGAAUUUCAAAUUAUGCAUGUAUGUAAUUAUUCCAUCAGUUCAGUCACUUGGGUCUGCCCUGGCAUCCUUUGCUGGCUUGUCAUUCACUCAGUGUAACAUAGGCACUGAAGCAGCUUCAUGCAUUUAUACUGUAAGGAAAUGGUCCUUUGUGAGCUAAGUGCUACUCUACUGUAAAAGGCCCAGCGUGGGGUUCUGGGCAGUUACUAAUUAUAGACUCGGCCCAUGAUUUCUUGGCCCAUUGUGCUCUCCUGUUCUCUCAGUCUUAGUAGUUUUACAUUUAAACAUCCUAAAUACUUAUCUCAUCCUGAGUAAUAUUAUAGCAGUGUUUUCCAAGCAAUCAUUUAAGGAAACAACGUAAAAGGGGGUGCUUUUGUAAAUAGUUGGUAAUGUCUUCUGUGGUCUCGUGGCAUAUCAGCAAUCCUGUGUAAAAGUUUGUAAGGAACACCUUGCCUUUGACAUUCAGAACUAUUCAUGUGUGUUUCAUUCUCAUAGCGCCUCAUACAUCUUGAACAAUUUCAUUUAUGCUAUAUUACUUUCUGAGCUCUGCAAGUCAGGCUGUUUAGGAUGCAGGUGUUUCCACACAGUGCUAAGUCCUCAGAGGGAAAACGACUGCACCAGUGAAUAAGCGGCUGGUUGGGAUCAGGAAUUGUGUUCCAACUUCUUCCUUCCUACACAGUCCAGUGACAUCAGGGCUUCUCCAGGAGUUGCUUUUGAUAGAACAUUUUGGGGACCUAGACCUUGCUUGUGACUCGCAUCCAGUACACUCAUGUUCAGGUUUUUAAUCUUCAUGCCGGGCAGGGUACAAAGUCACUUUUCCAUGCCUUUGCCUGGUGACCACAGAAACUUUCUCGGUUUCCUAGAGGAACUGCUGAGGGUCCUCAAGGUUAUGCGGGGUUCUCAUUGCGGUGCGCCCGCCUUUUGGACCUGUGAGGGCUUUAGUUUUAUUAUAUGUUUUAAUGUUCUGCUUCUUCUUAGGGAAAGGGUCAUGGAAAGGGCCAAGUAGCUUGCAUGGCAAGCGUUUUUGGUUUUUAUUUAAGAAGCAUAAAUUUGUUUCUGUGGAGCAUAAGAGAAGACACACACAACCCCCGUGGACCAAUGCCUUGCUGUGUGGUUCACUGGGGGCAGUAAGCAGCUGGUCACAGCUAGCUAC
rnacentral:lncRNA from 1 species